rnacentral:rRNA from 1 species
GUCCUAGCGGUAAACGUUGUGCACUAGGUGUGGGGCUCCGACGAGGGGCUCCGUGCCGCACCGAAAGCAUUAAGUGCACCACCUGGGGAGUACGGCCGCAAGGCUGAAACUCAAAGGAAUUGACGGGGGCCCGCACAAGCGGUGGAGUAUGUGGUUUUAAUUCGACGCAACGCGAAGAACCUUACCUGGGCUUGACAUGCUUAGGACCGGAGUGGAAACAUUCCUUUCCCGCAAGGGACCUUUGCACAGGUGCUGCAUGGCUGUCGU